rnacentral:rRNA from 1 species
CCUACGGGAGGCAGCAGUGGGGAAUAUUGCACAAUGGGGGGAACCCUGAUGCAGCAACGCCGCGUGGGUGAAGAAGUACUUCGGUAUGUAAAGCCCUGUCAGCAGGGAAGAAAAUGACGGUACUUGACCAAGAAGCCCCGGCUAACUACGUGCCAGCAGCCGCGGGAAUACGGAGGGGGCAAGCGUUAUCCGGUUUUACUGGGUGUAAAGGGAGCGUAGACGGCAAGGCAAGUCUGGAGUGCAAGCCCGUGGCUCAACCACGGGACUGCUUUGGAAACUGGGUUGCUGGAGUGCAGGAGGGGUAAGCGGAAUUCCUAGUGUAGCGGUGAAAUGCGUAGAUAUUAGGAGGAACACCGGUGGCGAAGGCGGCUUACUGGACUGUAACUGACGUUGAGGCUCGAAGGCGUGGGGAGCAAACAGGAUUAGAUACCCUUGUAGUC